rnacentral:rRNA from 1 species
GGCGUCAGGACGAACGCUGGCGGCGUGCCUAAUACAUGCAAGUCGAACGGCUUUUCUAUGGAAGCUUGCUUCCACUGAGAAGAUAGUGGCGAACGGGUGAGUAACACGUGGGGUAAACCCUGCCCAUAAGAGGGGGGAUAACAUCCGGAAACGGGUGCUAAUACCGCAUAGUUUUCUUGAUCGCAUGAUCGGGAAAGGAAAGACGGCCUUUGUGCUGUCGCUUAUGGAUGGACCCGCGGCGUAUUAGUUAGUUGGUGAGGUAACGGCUCACCAAGACGAUGAUACGUAGCCGACCUGAGAGGGUGAUCGGCCACAUUGGGACUGAGACACGGCCCAAACUCCUACGGGAGGCAGCAGUAGGGAAUCUUCCGCAAUGGACGAAAGUCUGACGGAGCAACGCCGCGUGAGUGAAGAAAAGGUUUUUCGGAUCGUAAAACUCUGUUGUCAGAGAAGAACAAGUUGGAGAGUAACUGCUCCAGCCUUGACGGUAUCUGACCAGAAAGCCACGGCUAACUACGUGCCAGCCGCUGC